rnacentral:rRNA from 1 species
GACGAACCGAGCGAACGUUGUUCGGAAUCACUGGGCUUAAAGGGCGCGUAGGCGGGCAUUCAAGUCUGUGGUGAAAUCCGGCAGCUUAACUGUCGAAUUGCCAUGGAUACUGGGUGUCUCGAGGGAGGCAGGGGUGCGCGGAACUAAUGGUGGAGCGGAGAAAUGCGUUGAUAUCAUUAGGAACUCCGGUGGCGAAGGCGGCGCACUGGUCCUUUUCUGACGCUGAGGCGCGAAAGCCAGGGGAGCAAACGGG